rnacentral:rRNA from 1 species
AUUGCCUCAGUAACGGCGAGUGAAGCGGCAACAGCUCAAAUUUGAAAUCUGGCUCUCGGGUCCGAAUUGUAAUUUGUAGAAGAUGCUUUGGGCGUGGCUCCGGUCUAAGUUCCUUGGAACAGGACGUCAUAGAGGGUGAGAAUCCCGUAUGUGACUGGGUGCUUUCGUCCGUGUAAAGCUCUUUCGACGAGUCGAGUUGUUUGGGAAUGCAGCUCAAAAUGGGUGGUAAAUUUCAUCUAAAGCUAAAUAUUGGCCAGAGACCGAUAGCGCACAAGUAGAGUGAUCGAAAGAUGAAAAGCACUUUGGAAAGAGAGUUAAACAGUACGUGAAAUUGUUGAAAGGGAAGCGCUUGCAACCAGACUUGCACGCUGUCGAUCAUCCGGGGUUCUCCCCGGUGCACUCGACUGUGUUCAGGCCAGCAUCGGUUCGAGUGGUGGGAUAAAGGCCUUGGGAAUGUAGCUCCUUUCGGGGAGUGUUAUAGCCCUCGGUGCAAUGCCGCCUACCCGGACCGAGGACCGCGCUUCGGCUAGGAUGCUGGCGUAAUGGUUGUAAGCGACCCGUCUUGAAACACGGACCAAGGAGUCUAACAUCUAUGCGAGUGUUUGGGUGUCAAACCCAUGCGCGUAAUGAAAGUGAACGGAGGUGAGAACCCUUUAGGGUGCAUCAUCGACCGAUCCUGAUGUCUUCGGAUGGAUUUGAGUAAGAGCAUAGCUGUUGGGACCCGAAAGAUGGUGAACUAUGCGUGAAUAGGGUGAAGCCAGAGGAAACUCUGGUGGAGGCUCGCAGCGGUUCUGACGUGCAAAUCGAUCGUCAAAUUUGCGUAUAGGGGCGAAAGACUAAUCG